AUGAUUCGAGCAGCAAUGGAUGAUGUGUGCUUCCUUCUCAAUAUACAAGAGAAAAUGAUGGAGAAGUUGAGCAAAGUAUCUUCAUGGCGUCUGUCAGUACAAAGUGAGCUAUACUGUAGGUGUUGCAUAAAUGACAACCAACAUGAAGAUUGGCCGCCUCUUCCAGCUGUCCUUGGUCAGUUUGUUUACACCCUUUCCGUUCAAAUCUAG
rnacentral:rRNA from 1 species